UUACCUGGGCUCGAACGUAAGAUGACUUGUAGGUGAAAGCUUACAUCUCUUCGGAGCAUUUUACGAGGUGCUGCAUGGUUGUCGUCAGCUCGUGCCGUGAGGUGUCGGGUUAAGUCCCAUAACGAGCGCAACCCCUACCUUUAGUUGCCAUCAGGUUAAGCUGGGGACUCUAAAGGAACUGCCUACGCAAGUAGUGAGGAAGCGGGGAUGACGUCAAAUCAGCACGGCCCUUACGUCCAGGGCUACACACGUGCUACAAUGGCCGAUACAGAGGGCAGCUACCUGGUGACAGGAUGCAAAUCUCCAAAGUCGGUCUCAGUUCGGAUCGGAGUCUGCAACCCGACUCCGUGAAGUUGGAUUCGCUAGUAAUCGCGCAUCAGCCAUGGCGCGGUGAAUACGUUCCCGGGCCUU
rnacentral:rRNA from 1 species